CAUGCAGUCGACGAGAACCGGAGCUUGCUCCGGUGGAAAGUGGCGAACGGGUGAGUAACACGUGAGAAAUCUGUCCUAGAGACCGGGACAACCAUCGGAAACGAUGGCUAAUACCGGAUACCCUCUCCCGGUCGCAUGGCCGGGCGAGGAAAUGCUCAGGUGCUCUAGGAGGAUCUCGCGGCCUAUCAGCUUGUUGGUGGGGUAACGGCCUACCAAGGCAUCGACGGGUAGCUGGUCUGAGAGGACGAUCAGCCACACUGGGACUGAGACACGGCCCAGACUCCUACGGGAGGCAGCAGUGGGGAAUAUUGCGCAAUGGGCGAAAGCCUGACGCAGCAACGCCGCGUGAGGGAUGACGGCUUUCGGGUUGUAAACCUCUUUCAGUGAUGACGAAAAUGACGGUAGUCACAGAAGAAGCUCCGGCCAACUACGUGCCAGCAGCCGCGGUAACACGUAGGGAGCGAGCGUUGUCCGGAUUUAUUGGGCGUAAAGAGCUCGUAGGCGGUUUCGUAAGUCGGAUGUGAAAACUCAGGGCUCAACCCUGAGACGCCAUCUGAUACUGCGAUGACUAGAGUCCGGUAGAGGAGCAUGGAAUUCCUGGUGUAGCGGUGGAAUGCGCAGAUAUCAGGAGGAACACCAACGGCGAACGCAGUGCUCUGGGCCGGUACUGACGCUGAGGAGCGAAAGCAUGGGGAGCAAACAGGAUUAGAUACCCUGGUAGUCCAUGCCGUAAACGUUGGGCACUAGUGUGGGUCUUCUAACGGACUCCGUGCCGUAGCUAACGCAUUAAGUGCCCGCCUGGGGAGUACGGCCGCAAGCUAAACUCAAGGAAUGACGGGG
rnacentral:rRNA from 1 species